GACAGAUGGCAACAGAGGGGCAGUCUGACAAAACGGCAUCUCACAUGGAAGUGGGCACAAUCUGCAAUUACUGUAUUAAAACCUCCUGUCUCUCUGAACCUAUCCUUACGCCAUCUCAUCUGACCAGGAGUACUCCGUCAGUACUUAAAAUCUAACACUGUCUUUAUGCAGUGUUUUUGGAGUUAAAAACAUAGAAAUUGCAGAAUAGUGUGAGACUAGUCAUUCAUGAUGCAGUUCAAAGGAAGUAAUCAGAAUUACAUUGGAGAUGAACUUGGAACUUGUUUUGAUAUCACUUCUUUCUGCAGCAAAAGAGCAACCAACUGGAUUUCAGCAGAGGAUUGGACAGGCAUGGGCUAAUACAAAGAUUUUGCUGGUCCCACCUUAAGACAAGCAAGUGCUGACAGAAUCUGGCUUCUGGACUUUGAUGGAAAGAGACAAUUAGGGCUCAGCCUAUGUGCUCAGAUUGAUUUAGUUAAAAACUGACUUAUUUAGAUUUGCGGAGAACUAAAAGGUCCAUCUUUUGAACUGAGAAUCUAGUGAUGUUAAGGAAGGCUGUUUGUUCGGUCUUUCUGUGUAUGUUGGAUGUGCAUGUGACAAGAAUGAGAUGAUAGAAUCAUGGAAUCAUCUAGGUCAGAAAAGACCUCCAAGGUCAUCAAGUAUAACCACCAACCUGACCUACUGAGACCAAUGAGGUCUCCCCUCGUCUUCCUCAGAAUAAACAACCGCUGUUCUCUCCUCAUAUGUACUGCAUUCUAAUUUCUUUACCAGCAAUACUGUUCUUCGCUGAGCUACAAUUCAGUGUCUUUCUUGUAGUGAGGGACCCAGAGCUGAACACAAGGUGUGGUGUCACCAGAGCUGCGUGCAAGGGGACAACCAAUUCCCUAGUCCUUCAGAUCACACAGUUGCUGAUUAAGGCCACUCCAUUGGCCUUCUUGGCCACCUGGGCAUGCUUCUGGAUCAAUCUUUCAGAUUCUGUCCUCAGAGCUGUCCAUUCCCACUGGCACAAACCUCCUCAUCGGAGGGAGCUGAAGCAGUUUAUGUUAUAGCUCCUCAUGGUAAAGGGACAGCUGAAGUUACUGAGGUUGUUUUGGCUCACAUCCGUUUGUAGUUUAACUCAGAAACUGGUUCAGUCUCUGUCCCAUUUUGAAGCAAAAAAAGAAUUAUUUUUUUUUUAAUUUUGAGACUUGUAUUUCAUCCAAGUUCCUUAUCAGAGAUCUCCAACUGUUUCUGCCACCUCUGAGUACAGGAUGAAUCUAAUCGUGUUUCUUCAGUGUCACUGUAUCAACGUCUACUCCUCUACUGGGUAAAAGAGGAGCCUGUGGAAUUAUGCCAGAUUACCUUAGCAAGGAAUCUUCAUUAUUCUCCUUCAGCUAAAAGGAAAGGGGUGGAAACCCCACAGAGCAAAAGGGAGAGUCAAGUAAUUAAUUUGCAGGUCUUGACAUAUGGCUGGGAGAAGGGCUACUGGGGAGGUUGGGAAGGCGAAGAUUUCAGAAGCCUUGGUCAGCCUUCCUCUGGAUGUCUGCAACAACUGAAGGGUUUCUUCAGACUCAUCUGGACUUUGGUUUUCUUUCUUCCUUGAAACUUGUAUUUUCUUCAUGUGAGGAGUCCUUCCUAUCAUGGGAGCCUUAGCUUCAAGAGAAGGCCUCUGGUUCCACCCUGCAGCCAGCCUCUGCCUCAGCGGGCAGGCUGCCCCUCUCCUUGCACGCCCUCUCCAAGGAUGUCCAGCACCAAAGUGCUGGAUGAUCCAAGAGAAAACCCCAUUACAGCCCCUUUCAAGCAUGAACUGUAACAACUCUUACUCUCGAAAGUCAGUAUGACUCCCAUGAUUUAUUCAUCCCAAGAUGUAUUCAUCCAUUCAUUAUUUAUUUGCAUUUGUUUUACUACUAUCAUUACAAUUUCAUAAACAGCAGCGCAGAGAGAAAGAUGGGACAUUACAGAGAGUUAGCUGCUGGAGGAAGGUCUUGGGCUUCGUUCUUCUUGGCCACAGGUAGCCUCCAGAAUUUUUAUAUUGGCUUAUUACAAGCAAAAGUUCUUUUCUCAUUUCCUUUUUCUAGAUUAAUGAAAGCCUUUUGUUUCAAGUCUUCUUCACAGUCAUUUAUAGUCUUUUAAUAUGAUGAGGACACUAGACCAUUCUGAAGUGAUGAGGGAUUCUACUGAGUGCAGAAGAUGAAAUGAAGAGGAAACUGAGAUUGCAGGUCCAGCAUCUUCCCUCCUCGUUUCAAUCUGUGAAUGCAGAUUUCUGCAGGUAGAAGGACUGAACUGAUAUAAGGCCUACUCAGAUGAUGAAUAGAUCUAGAUUUACUAUUUCAGGCUGUAAUUUGGUGUGCAUAUUAUGACAGAAAUGGAGGAUUGUGUUGAAAGGAAAAAGGGGAAAAUCCAAUGCAGAAUGUCAGCUCCCCCGUGCCCUUCCUUCUCAGGCUCAAAUGCUCGGUGUCCAGGCAGAUAGUUUGGAGCUAUCAAUUUACUGUGACUCAGCUGUGGUGUAGCUCACUGUCUCAAUAUGCUCCUCACGAAUCAGCCGUGAGGUAACACGAAUUGGCUUAAGCCACCUUCAUGAUUGCUGUGUGGCGAAAGAAGUUCAAAUAUCAGGUACAUUAAAGCACAGCACUGACAGCCAGUGGGUUCCCAUUAGGGGACUUCAGCUUUUCUGUAGCACUAUGCUUUCUGAAAUGUGUUAUUGACUUUAUAAAAGCCAUAGCAGCUUUGUUCUUAGUACUGCCCUCUAGACCUACUUCUUUCCAACAAUAUACAGCCCUAUUGUAAAUCAAUGUCCAAAACCACUGCAGCAGUACUACUUUCAUCUGGAGGGACCAUUUUGCAGAAAGGAGAGGUUUCUUUUUUUUUAAAAAAAAGAAAGUAUUUUUAAUUUUGUAAGGAAUCCUUCUGAGCCUUUUCAAUCAGCUGGAUUAUUCACUUCAUAGUACAGAAACAUAGAUUUGUUAUUCAUUAAAAAAAAGAAAGAAAAGAAAAAAUAUUUCUUCUUUACUCCUACAUAGAAGGAAAAAUAAAUAAAUAAAUUACCACCAAAUUAGAUGGUGGCAUAUAAGCCUUUUAUGUAAAUCAGGAGAAGAGGUUAAGUAGUUGUAAAAAAGGCUUUAGCCCUGGGAAACAUGAAAAGUGGACUGCUUCAGAUUUUAUAUGCCCUGGAUUUUUAGAAGGACAGCAUAUCUGUAGCUUUGUUUAAAAGAACUGUGGUUUUUGAAAUACAUGAAGCCAGUAAAAUGAUCUUAAGGUCUUAGGGAUGAAAAUUUAAUAAGGAAAAGAAACCCUAAGUAAUGCAGGGAAAUGUCAUGGAUAGCUGAACAUUUUGUUGCAGAAUAUAUGGUACACACAGUUGUUUUUUAUAGCACAAAAAAAAAUAUAUUUUUUUCCAGGUGUUGGCACAGGUAAGAACAGCUGUGAGAUGGUGGAACACAAGCUGGCAUUCUCUGUUCCUUUCAACAACUAUGCUAAGUCUGUUUUGUUGAUUGCAGGCAUGAAGGAGUAUGCAGGCAGUAGUUUCAGCAGACAUGGUCUGCAUAUGCAAAACGUAAGCAACCAAAACCAUGAGGUUUUAGGCACUAUUCCGUUACUUGGGCAUCCUUACUAAUAUCCUUUUGACUAAGUUUCAGAAGGUCUCUGGCUGGCUGUGACUGCAAUUAUUGGCUCAUAUAUUAUACUGUAAGGAUGCACCAUUGGAUAGCAAUGCUUGUAAAUGGCAGCAGUUUGCUUAUUGGAGGACGCAGAAGAUAAUUAAAUUUGCUAUUUGGGUUAGAAAUCCUAUGCCAAAAUAAUGUUAUCUAUCCAGAUCUUGUAUUUAUACUGGAAUUGUGUGA